UAUUUGAGAUCUAACAACUACUUUUCGAGCUAUAUCUAAUAAUGCGUUUUUACUUGACGCUUUUUUCGUCGACCUACGUUGUAUUAUACCGUAUAACUUUCUACUGGAUGUACUGAUUUUGAUAAUUCUUUUUUUGUUGGAAAGGAGAUAUCCCAAGUUUAGUACCAUGAUAAGGAAACCAGGAUCUGAUGAUGGGAUCCUAGAUAAAUCGAGGGAAACUCUUGAAAAUCCGCAAUAACUUUUUACUAGGUGUACCGAUUUUAAUGAUUUUUAAUUUAAUCGAAAGCCGAUGUUUAUCAUGUGGUCAUAUUUAAAUUUCAUCGAAAUAUGAUAACUACUUUUUGA
rnacentral:misc_RNA from 1 species